rnacentral:tRNA from 1 species
UCCUGGUGGCUCAGAUGGUAAAGCAUCUGUCUAAAGUGCAGGAGACCCAAGUUCAAUCCCUGGGUCAGGAA